rnacentral:rRNA from 1 species
AUGGUAUAAUAAAAUCGGAGGCCACGACUGUUUACUAAAAACACAAUUCAGAGCAAUAAUUAAGAUAAUAGUAUUCUGAAUGAAAUUUGCCCAAUGCCAUUAAUAUAAAAGAGGUAAUUUUAAAGUUACUAAUUGAAAGUCUGGUUAAUAGCGGUCUUAACUAUGAGGAUCCUAAGGUAGCAAAAUAAAUUGGCCAUUAAAUGUGGUCUUGUAUCAAUAAUGUAACGAUGGUCUCACUGUCUCUACAACUUGCUCAGUGAAAUUGAAUUGCGAGUGCAGAUGCUCGCUUUCUUCAGAGGGACGGGAAGACCCUAUGCAGCUUCU